UACGUAGGCAGCAAGCGUUGUUCGGAGUUACUGGGCGUAAAGGGCGCGUAGGCGGUGCGGUAAGUCACCUGUGAAAUCUCCUGGCUCAACUGGGAGCUUGCAGGCGAAACUGCCGUGCUGGAGUGUGGGAGAGGUGCGUGGAAUUCCUGGUGUAGCGGUGAAAUGCGUAGAUAUCAGGAGGAACACCUGUGGCGAAAGCGGCGCACUGGACCACAACUGACGCUGAGGCGCGAAAGCUAGGGGAGCAAACAGG
rnacentral:rRNA from 1 species